rnacentral:Y_RNA from 1 species
GUUUGGUCUGAAAGUAGUGAGUUAUCUCAGUUGACUGUUCACAGACAGUUACAGAUUGAGCUCCUUUUUCUGUUCACUCUUUUCCCCCUUCUCACUACUACACUUGACUAGUCUUAA